rnacentral:rRNA from 1 species
GAUGAACGCUAGCUACAGGCUUAACACAUGCAAGUCGAGGGGAAACGACAUCGAAAGCUUGCUUUUGAUGGGCGUCGACCGGCGCACGGGUGAGUAACGCGUAUCCAACCUGCCCAUCACUUGGGAAUAACCUUGCGAAAGUAAGACUAAUACCCAAUGAUAUCCCACGAAGGCAUCGGAAUGGGAUUAAAGAUUUAUCGGUGAUGGAUGGGGAUGCGUCUGAUUAGCUUGUUGGCGGGGUAACGGCCCACCAAGGCAACGAUCAGUAGGGGUUCUGAGAGGAAGGACCCCGACAUUGAAACUGAGACACGACCCAAACUCCAAGGGGAGGCAGAGAAGAGGAAUAUUGGUCAAAGGGCGGGAGCCUGAACCGGCCAGGUAGCGAGGAGGAAGCCGGCCCGAUGGAUUGAAAACUGCUUUUAUAAGGGAAAAAAGUGGGUACCGUGUAGCCUUUGGCAGGAACCGUAUAAAAAAGGACCGCCAAAUUCGGG